CGAAUCGACUCAUCCCAAUCUCCUGCACCUCUUCCUUCCUGCUCCAGUUCUCCAUUUUCGAUAGCCUUCCUCAUCUUUCAACGAGAUUCUUCAAUCAAACAAAACCACCGCCAACUCUGUAAAUUGCUUUUCCACCUGUUCACCCAAAUUCGAUGUAACACGCGAGAACCGCGACGUACCACCACUCCAUCGUCGCAUUUUCCAUAACCCUCUAUACGGAAGCGGUCGAUGAAAGCAGAGUGGGUAAGAUCGGUUGCUCUGCAGCCUCACCCUCAAAACGCUACCCCAUCACUUUGCUUCUCGGCGAUGGCAUUGGCCUCAACCUCGCCCCCUCCAUCGAUGGUUUCUUUUAAUUCUGCUUCCGUUUUCUGAAUUUUAUUUCAGGUGCCUGAGAAACGGUGGGAAAAUUAAAAGGAAAAGUCUUUUAAUUUUCCCAUAUUUUCUUUGGGUUAAUGUUUAACAAUUUGAGCUGCUCUGUGUGUUGUAUAAUCGAGAAAUUUUGUUGGGAAAUUAGUAAUUAUAUAACAUUUGGAUAUUUGUAUAACUGAAUAUGUUUACAUAAACUAGAGAUUGAUUUUAAGUAUGAAGAAGUACCUAUUGGUGGAGCUGGCUUAGAUUUGACUGGAGUGCCAUUACCUGAUGAGACCCUUUUGUCAGCUAAGCAAUCGACGCAAUUAUUCUUCUCGAAGCAGUUGGGCGUAGGUCAUGAUUGUACUUCUCAAUCCGUUUUAUUUCUUAGUGAUUAUCCUUUUCAAGUGAUAUAAUUUAGUUAAUUCGAUUAUUGUUUUUGUUUCAAAUUUUGGCUUCAAUCUCCUUACUUUGAUUCUAAUGAAUGAAGCGAAUUGUUCUCAAAAUUUCAAGUUUUUCAUGAAUAUGUUGCAUUUCUUUAAAGCAUGAUUUGAUUUUUUAUUGUAAUUUCAACAUUUUGGAUCUCUGUAUGCCUUUUUAUUAUAUUAUUGCUCAUUGGAUUGGAUUGAUUUGGUGUGCAGAAUUUGGAAUUUGUUGAGGGGGGGGCUAAUGUUACCAUUGAUGAAGUCUGCGCUUUUGGAAGGUAAGUAGUGAUAUUUAAUUAUUGUUUAUUGCAUUUUGUCAAAUUUUAUGGGAAAUUUUCUGAAUUAGGUGUGUGCAUGAUCCGAAAAAGUCUCAGAACAUUGCAAUUCUUGCUUAUUGCAUUGUGUCCAAUUUGGAAGGUAAGUUGUGAUUCUGUAAGGAUGUAUUGAAGGACCAUUUGUUUAGUUCGUUAGUGGAAUUUCGUUAUUUAUGUA